rnacentral:rRNA from 1 species
GACGAACGCUGGCGGCGUGCUUAACACAUGCAAGUCGAACGGGCCUGUCUUCUUUUUUGGGGGUGGGUUGAGUGGCGAACGGGUGAGUAUCACGUGAGUAACCUGUCCUUCGGUCCUGGAUAACCGCUUGAAAGGGCGGCUAAUACGGGGUGGUCCGGUUGGUCCGCAUGGGCUGGUCGGGAUAGAUUCACUGUUUUUGGUGUUUCGGCGGGGGAUGGGCUCGCGGCCUAUCAGCUUGUUGGUGGGGUGAUGGCCUACCAAGGCGGUGACGGGUAGCCGGCGUGAGAGGGUGGGCGGCGACACUGGGACUGAGAUACGGCCCAGGCGCCUGCGGGAGGCAGCAGUGGGGGGUAUUGCACAAUGGGCGGAAGCCUGAUGCAGCGACGUCGCGUGAGGGAUGGAGGCCUUCGGGUUGUGAACCUCUGUUUCCGGUGGUGAAGGCCCUGUCCGUGUGGUGGGGUUGACGGUAGCCGGGGAUGAAGCGCCGGCUAACUACGUG